UACGUAGGGUGCGAGCGUUAAUCGGAAUUACUGGGCGUAAAGCGUGCGCAGGCGGUUUUGUAAGACAGAUGUGAAAUCCCCGGGCUUAACCUGGGAACUGCAUUUGUGACUGCACGGCUGGAGUGCGGCAGAGGGGGAUGGAAUUCCGCGUGUAGCAGUGAAAUGCGUAGAUAUGCGGAGGAACACCGAUGGCGAAGGCAAUCCCCUGGGCCUGCACUGACGCUCAUGCACGAAAGCGUGGGGAGCAAACAGG
rnacentral:rRNA from 1 species